CAGAGUGUUGCUGAUUAUUUGCCUCGGCCCGUGUCGUCGUAACACCGUGACGCACGAGAAGUGUUUCUUAGCUUUGGAGAACCAAGAACUAAUGGGUCUGGAAGUUUGGAGCAGAGUUUUUAAUUGAUGACCUUGACUUCCCCAAAAACAAGGGGAGAGAGAAUUCGGUGCGCUGUUCUGUUCGCCGUUGGACAAUGAUUCUAAUAUCGAUCCAAGGAGCAUUGGGAUCCAGGAUACGCGAAUCACCUCCAGCCAAACCGCUCCAACACAUACAACCACAGCCCGUACUACAGACCUACAGACUUACAUAAUCGGCACACUAUUUUCCCCGAUUUGGACAGC